rnacentral:rRNA from 1 species
UACGGGGGGGGGUAAGCGUUGUUCGGAAUUACUGGGCGUAAAGGGCUCGUAGGCGGCCAACUAAGUCGGACGUGAAAUCCCUCAGCUUAACUGGGGGAACUGCGUCCGAUACUGGAUGGCUUGGUAGUUGGGAGAGGUGCGGAAUUCCAGGUGUAGCGGUGAAAAUGCGUAGAGAUGUGGAGGAACACCGAUGGCGAAGGCAGCCCCCCUGGGCUGAGAUUGACGCUCAUUGCACGAAAAGCUGGGGGAGCAAACAGG